rnacentral:rRNA from 1 species
UACAGAGGUCCCGAGCGUUGUUCGGAUUCAUUGGGCGUAAAGGGUGCGUAGGCGGUCUUCUAAGUUUGAUGUGAAAUCCCGGGGCUCAACCCUGGAAUUGCAUUGAAUACUGGAGGACUAGAGUACCGGAGAGGAAACUGGAAUUUACGGUGUAGCAGUGAAAUGCGUAGAGAUCGUAAGGAAGACCAGUGGCGAAGGCGAGUUGCUGGGCUGACACUGACGCUGAUGCGCGAAAGCCAGGGGAGCGAACGGG